AUGGCUCAGGAUGAACGCUGGCGGCGUGCAUAACACAUUCAAGUCGAACGGAGUUACGGGACGGAAGUCUUCGGAUGGAAGGCCCGCAACUUAGUGGCGGACGGGUGAGUAACGCGUGAGCAACCUGCCCCUAUGUCGGGGAUAACGACCGGAAACAGUCGCUAAUACCGGAUGAAACAUCGACCGCGCAUGAGGAUGAUGUCAAAGAUUUAUUGCAUAGGGAUGGGCUCGCGUCUGAUUAGGCAGUUGGAGAGGUAACGGCUCACCAAACCUACGAUCAGUAGCCGGACUGAGAGGUUGAACGGCCACAUUGGAACUGAGAAACGGUCCAGACUCCUACGGGAGGCAGCAGUGGGGAAUAUUGGGCAAUGGGCGAAAGCCCUGACCCAGCGACGCCGCGUGAGGGAAGACGGUCUUCGGACUGUAAACCUCUGUUGUAAAGGACGAAGCAAGUGACGGUACUUUACGAGGAAGCCACGGCUAACUACGUGCCAGCCGCAGC
rnacentral:rRNA from 1 species